rnacentral:rRNA from 1 species
UACAGAGGGUGCGAGCGUUGUUCGGAAUUAUUGGGCGUAAAGGGCGCGUAGGCGGUGCGGUAAGUCACCUGUGAAAUCUCCUGGCUCAACUGGGAGCUUGCAGGCGAAACUGCCGUGCUGGAGUGUGGGAGAGGUGCGUGGAAUUCCCGGCGUAGCGGUGAAAUGCGUAGAUAUCGGGAGGAACACCUGUGGCGAAAGCGGCGCACUGGACCACAACUGACGCUGAGGCGCGAAAGCUAGGGGGAGCAAACAGG